rnacentral:snRNA from 1 species
AAAAAAAAAAAAAAAAGAUUAGUAUGGCCCCUGUCCAAGGAUGACACACAAAUUUGUAAAGUAUUCCAUAGUUUU